rnacentral:rRNA from 1 species
UAGCCUUGACAUUGAAGAAAUAGACCAGAGAUGGACUAGUGCCCUUCGGGGAAUCUGAAAACAGGUGCUGCACGGCUGUCGUCAGCUCGUGUCGUGAGAUGUUGGGUUAAGUCCCGCAACGAGCGCAACCCUCGUCCUUAGUUGCUAGCAGUUCGGCUGAGCACUCUAAGGAGACUGCCUUCGCAAGGAGGAGGAAGGUGAGGACGACGUCAAGUCAUCAUGGCCCUUAUGGCUAGGGCUACACACGUGCUACAAUGGGGCGUACAGAGUGUUGCGAUACCGCGAGGUGGAGCUAAUCACUUAAAGCGUCUCUCAGUUCGGAUUGGAGUCUGCAACUCGACUCCAUGAAGCUGGAAUCACUAGUAAUCGUAGAUCAGCAAUGCUACGGUGAAUACGUUCCCGGGUC